rnacentral:rRNA from 1 species
UACGGGGGGCAAGCGUUGUUCGGAAUUACUGGGCGUAAAGGGCUCGUAGGCGGCCAACUAAGUCGGAUGUGAAAUCCCCAGGCUCAACUUGGGAACUGCAUCCGAUACUGGAUGGCUUGAAUUCGGGAGAGGGAUGCGGAAUUCCAGGUGUAGCGGUGAAAUGCGUAGAUAUCUGGAGGAACACCGGUGGUGUAGACGGCUUUCUGGACCGUAACUGACGCUGAGACACGAAAGCGUGGGUAGCAAACAGG